rnacentral:rRNA from 1 species
AGAGCGAACGCUGGCGGCAGGCCUAACACAUGCAAGUCGAACGAACUCUUCGGAGUUAGUGGCGGACGGGUGAGUAACACGUGGGAACGUGCCUUUAGGUUCGGAAUAACUCAGGGAAACUUGUGCUAAUACCGAAUGUGCCCUUCGGGGGAAAGAUUUAUCGCCUUUAGAGCGGCCCGCGUCUGAUUAGCUAGUUGGUGAGGUAAAGGCUCACCAAGGCGACGAUCAGUAGCUGGUCUGAGAGGAUGAUCAGCCACAUUGGGACUGAGACACGGCCCAAACUCCUACGGGAGGCAGCAGUGGGGAAUCUUGCGCAAUGGGCGAAAGCCUGACGCAGCCAUGCCGCGUGAAUGAUGAAGGUCUUAGGAUUGUAAAAUUCUUUCACCGGGGACGAUAAUGACGGUACCCGGAGAAGAAGCCCCGGCUAACUUCGUGCCAGCAGCCGCGGUAAUACGAAGGGGGCUAGCGUUGCUCGGAAUUACUGGGCGUAAAGGGAGCGUAGGCGGACAUUUAAGUCAGGGGUGAAAUCCCGGGGCUCAACCUCGGAAUUGCCUUUGAUACUGGGUGUCUUGAGUAUGAGAGAGGUGUGUGGAACUCCGAGUGUAGAGGUGAAAUUCGUAGAUAUUCGGAAGAACACCAGUGGCGAAGGCGACACACUGGCUCAUUACUGACGCUGAGGCUCGAAAGCGUGGGGAGCAAACAGGAUUAGAUACCCUGGUAGUCCACGCCG